rnacentral:rRNA from 1 species
UACGGAGGGGGCAAGCGUUGUUCGGAAUCAUUGGGCGUAAAGGGCUCGUAGGCGGACUAGUAAGUCUGGCGUGAAAUCUCCACCGCUCACCGGGGAGAGGUCGCUGGAUACUGCUAGUCUUGAGUUCGGUAGAGGGUCGUGGAAUUUCGGGUGUAGCGGUGGAAUGCGUAGAUAUCCGAAAGAACACCGGUGGCGAAGGCGGCGACCUGGGCCUG